UGGAAGUUCUAAAUAUGAAAAAGCAUAGCAGCCAGGCAAAGAUUAUUGGUACAUUGGUCUCCAUUGUGGGGGCAUUAACCGUGACAUUAUAUAAAGGGAUGCCAUUGAUUAAUGGUGCCUUUCAAAAUAUAGAAAUGGGAGCAACUGAAAUUUACCUAUUAGGGAAAUCAGACUGGAUAAUUGGUGCUUUUCUUCUUGCAACUGCUAGCUUUCUCCUUUCAGUUUUAUUUAUUACCGAGGUAAACAAACCAUGAAUAUAUACGUAAAUAAGGUUAAAAAUUGCAAUUGUUGUUGCGUUUCAAAGAAAACCACAUGUAAACAUGGCUUAUGCGUCUUUUAAUCGAUCAUUGAGACAUCAAAACUUUGAUAUUGGACUUUAGAUUGCGGUCUUGACCUUUUUAUAACGAUUGAGACGUUAAUUUUUUACUAAAUACAUCAAUUUUAUUUAACUCAUAGUGCAACAAUUUGGUAAAGUACAUAUAUUUAAUUUUCUUUUUCGACCUAAACGCAGACUUGGACUAUCAAGGCUUAUCCUGAAGAACUACUAGUAACAUCUAUUUGUAUUAGCUUGGUGGUAAUACAAUCAGGCAUUGUAGCUCUUAUUGUUGAGGGAAAUUCAAAUGCUUGGAUACUUAAACCUAACAAGGAGUUGGUAGCAGUGUGUUUUUCAGUAAGUACAUAUAAACUUGUUAGGAAAUUUAGAAACAUAUUAAAAAUGAAGUAUUAAAUGAAUGCAUUAUAACUUUUUUUUGCAACAAAUGCAUUAUAUCUUAAAAAUCUGCAUUUUUCAAUUGUAACUUAAUUGUUGGUGUAUAAGUUUUAUAAUUAUAAGAUGUGGUGGUUCAUUUAUAGGCAAUAUUUGUGGUAUCAUUGAGGAGUGUUGUAAACAAAUGGGCAUUUCGUAAAAAAGGACCAAUAUAUGUAGCUAUGUUCAACCCUUUAAGAGUGGUCAUUGCACUUGGCAUGGGGAUAUUAUUUUUGGGAAACAAUCUUUAUCUUGGAAGGUAAAUAAAUACAUUUAAAGAACACAAUUUUUUGGAAAAUAAUUUAAAUGAUGUAUUGAUCCAAGACUAACCAUUGUUUUUAAUUUUUUGUCUUGCAUUUUGGUACAGCAUGAUUGGAGCUUCUAUCAUAGUCAUUGGAUUUUAUGCUGUGAUGUGGGCACAAGCUCAAGAGGAGCACACAACAAGUGAAAAUGAUUUUCUCCCAUCUUCUUCAACACCUUUGUUGUCAACCAAAAACAUUGACCACUAGGACACUCUGCUUUUGUACUAUUGUAGGGUCUAUUGAUUGCAUAAUCUUUUUUUAGCCUCGUGAAAAUAUGUAAUCCUAACUGGAGUUCCCGUGGAAAUGGCUAUUGCUCAUAGUAUUUGGUGCAUGCGGUUAACACAACUACUAAUUUAUGGAUCGAUUUAUGCAUCUAUCGCCGUGGCUAACCUCUUCGCAUGUGUAACGCCCUAGUCGUUAUUUUAUUUAUUUAUGAUUUAUUUAGAGUCUUUUAUAUGAUUUUAAAUAAUUAUUGUUGAUUAUGUGGUGUGUUAUAUUUUAUUAUAUGGUUUAUUUUAAUAUUAAUUAGAAUAAGUGGGAAUUAUUAUUAUUUUGGAGGUUGGGGAUUUAAUUAGAAAUUAAUAGAAUUAAGGGGGAGUUAAAUGAAAUAAAGGGGAGUUAAGUAUUGGGAGUUAGGAAAAGAAAUAGCCAGAAAGCAGUUUCACGUACAACAAACAAGUUUUGGGAGAAAAAGGGAGGAAGAGUCAAGUAGAGCCAAGUGAACCAGAUUUUUGUACAAUUGUUCAUCUGAAUUAAGGUAAGGGUGAGGUUUACUUCAGUAGUGUAGAUGUUUAAUUCUGAUUUUGGUUUAACAGGUUUAUGGUAGGAAUUGGGGAUUUUGGGUUUAAGUUGAAUUCUUGGGUUUUUGGGUGAAUUGAGUGUAGGAAUCACUGGUUUGAUGUUAGAAAUAGGUUCUGAGUGCAUACAGCAUUUCAUUUCAUAUCUGUAAACUGAUUUGGGGAGUGAAAUUGAGGAAAUUGGGAUUUUUGGAAAAAACCUGCAUUCUGCCCGUACUGACAUUCAUCGCUCGCCCCGCGAGUAGCCUUGUCUCGCCUCGCGAGUGAACAACCUCAUGGCUCGCCUCGCGAGCAGAACCACUCGCCAUGGCGAGUUAGAGAGUGAGAGAUCAUGAUUUUCAGAUUGUUGUUAUAAGGUAUAAUUUGGUUAGUUUUGAGUACCUGAAUGAUUUUAGAGAGGACUGGGACAAUUUUUAGAUUAAAAAGAUGAAUGGGGAGCUUAAAAAUGAAGAUUUAGUGAGAAAAAUGUCAAAACUCCCGAGAGCAUCAUUUUUCUCGUUCGCCUCGUACUCGCCACGGCGAGUAACCCAUUCCUUGAGUUCGCCAUAGCGAGUAGAUGUACUCGCGAGGCGAGUUGCCCAGUAUCUGAGCUGUUUGUUCUUUAAUUGAAUAAUGUUGAAUGAUCUUGAUGUCUGAGCAUGAUUAUGAUCAAUCGUGUACUUUCUGGAAUUGUUGGAUUAACUAUGAUGAUUUGUGAUGAUUGUGAUGUAUGUUUAUAUUUAAUUAAAUCAUACAUGUUGUUAAAUGGUGGGAUUGUAAGUCAUAUUAUAUAUAUAUAUAUAUAUAUAUAUAUAUAUAUAUAUAUAUGCAUUUUUGAGUUGUAUGUAGAUAUACACAAGUGGAGUCCAUUGCAUAAGCAUUUAAAGCGGGAGGGCUCAGGCCCUGGAACGCCUUGUCGUUCAAAGCGGGAGGGCUCAUGCCCUGGAACACCUUGUUGUUCAAAUUGGUGAGGGCUUAUGCCCUGGUGAAUGCUUUAACCAUUCAAAAUUCGGUGAGGGUUUCUGCCCUAUAAAUUGAUACCACAUGCAUGUGCAUAGUCGCAUUGUUGAGGAGUCUAGCGGUGUUGUCAUGUAGUUGCAUGAGUCGUUGUUGUUGGUUGAAAAUUACCAUUUCCUGUUGAUGUUGCUAAUUAUGAAAUAUAUAUGUACAUUGAAUGAUUAUUAUUAUGUUAGGGUGUUAGAUUCAAUUGAUGAAUUUUAUAUCUAUUAUUAUUGUUGUGAAUCUCACCCCUUCUGCUUGGAAAUGUUGCCCUUCCUAUGGGUAACUUGCAGGUGAUCCUGAGUAGUAGGUGGUGGCUCAAGUGUCUAGGGCUCUGAUACGUAACGGGAUGGGACUUAGUUGUUAUAGUUUUCAUUCCUUAUGUAUCAAAUUUUGGGAACAUGUUGUAGAGCCUUUUAUUGUUAUUUGAAACAAUUAAUGAUGAAUAUUAUGUUGGGACCUUUGUGCCAGGAUUUAUUGUUGGAUGUUGAUGUUUAAUGUUUGAAGAAUAUUCCGCUGCAAAUUAUUGAUGUUUUAUGAAGGAUGUGUAUUCAAUAGUUUUAUAUUAUAUUUAAGAAAUUUUGAAAAGUAGUGUGACAUGCCCGUUUCGGUAUUAAACUCUGAUGUUAUAUUUAUUAUUUAAUUGUUUUGGGAUAACGGGGUGUUACGGCAUGAACCUUAGAGAGAAAUUUGUAUAAACACCCAAGCAAGGAUAUUGGUCUAAAGUCCUUUAAUUCCAAUGGAGAAUUGAUCUUGGGAAUUAAUGCAACAAAAUAUGCCAACAAACUCCUCGGGACCACUUCAUUAGCAUGAAAUUGGUCGAACAUAAUUCGAAUUCAUGCUUCAACAAGCACCAAAACUCCUGACAGGGACUAAAAGAAAGGAAAGUCCCUUCUCUCUCUAAAUAUCGUUUCUCUCCCUUCUCACUAAGAAAGCUUCGCAAACCACCAUCGUCUCCGCCCUUUACCACCCAAAAAUACAAAAUCAACUAUUAAGAUGUAGAUCCUUGUUCUCGGUGAAGCGAUUGACCCUGUUUGCUUUGCGUCACCACCUUCAAACCCGGAUGGGUCUCUUCAUGAAGGGUUUUCUCCUUUUUGGCGCCUUCACAAGUGGCUUCUAGGUGCGGUCUUGUUGGUCUGCUGGAUCUCUUGUUGGGUGGUCACUGUUUCGGUUCUCGUUGGAUAGUGGUGCACCACCGUUUGGUGGUUCUGUUCUGGUCCGAUCCUAUUGUUUUCCCUCUUGGGAUCCAAUGGUUUUCAAGCCCAUCUUGCAUCCUCCGUGUCGGUAAGCGGUUAGGGGUUGUUUUUUGGUUAGCUCCUCGAGGAAUUCCGGUGUUGUUUUCGACGGCUCUGGUCUCUUCGUGCUUGCUUUUACAGCUGGUCGCCUUGGCCACUCCUGUGUUUGUUUUUUGUUUUUUGUUUUUCUUUGGUUUUUGGAAGAUCAAGAAGAGUGUGGUUUUAUUCCGACUUAAGUGACUUUGUUUGAUAAUCCUUUAUCUGAUUUUUAUUGGAUUUAGAAUUUGUUUCUAAAGUUAUGUUCAUCAGUACGUGGAUUCGUUGGAUGCAUCCAUCGAUCUGGAUUCAACAAGUCUUUAUGUUCGUAUGAUGUUUCUCGAAAAGGCUAGGUGCGUAGGGGCUCCAUGUUGACGGUAGUUGUCGUUUGUCGUGCAUCAAGAACUGUAUCUGUCGUGGUUGCUUCAUGCGUCGUCGAUGGACUAUGUUGAAGUUCCAUUGUUUGUUCAUCCCUCGAUCUGGACAACAAUGGAUUGGUUUGGCCUGAAAGGGUGUUUAUGAUAUCCUGUUUAGGGAGUUGUUGGAACUUGAAUCGUUUCUGUGUUGGCAGCCGAUUCAUACGCCUAUCUAGAUGCUCUCAACACUAGCUCUACGUUUUUUUUUUAAUUUCGGUUUCGCUUCCACACGUGAGGGCGCUGGAUUGUUCGUGGGAGUUGGUAUUUUGAGUUUUGUUUUAGUUUUUUACCAUAUAGGGUAUUUUCUUGGUGAUUUACUGGGUCAGGUUCAUGCCCCCCAGUCCUGUACUUUCUUUUUAUUUUAAUCUUAUUUCUAUCCUGCCUAAAAAAAGUACCAAAACUCCUUAAUAAAAGCAAAAUUAAAACCACCCGGAGCCGAACUUUUAUCUCCAUCACACUCCUUCACAACCUCAUCAAUCUCCCGUAAAUCAAAGGACCUCACCAAAACCACAUUUUUCUCCUCCGACAAUCUCUCAAAAGGAACUCCAUCUAACUUUGGCCUCUCCCACUCACUUGAUGAUGUAUGCCUUGUGAAAAGUUCACCACCUCACACCUUAGCUCCAACGGAGAUUACACCCACCCCUCACCCACCUUUAAAGCCUUAAUUGCAUUCGUAGCAUUUCUCCCCUUCACACAUUUAUGAAAAAACUUCGGAUUUGGGUCACCACCCUCCUUCAACCAUUUAAACCUUGACCUUUGGACCCUCAUCGUAUCUCUCACCUUCAAAAGUCUCCAAAGCUCUUAGAAUUUAGCCUUUCGGGUUUGCACGCACAAGUCGACCAACAAACAUUCUUCCCCUUUAUUAUCUAAAUCCACUAUCUCCUCCACCAACCUCCGAACUUCCUCUUCUAAUUCUCCUUACUCGUCUUUGUGCCACCCUUUGAUCCCCACCUUAAGGCCUUGCAAUUUUUCCUUUAACACAUAACCCAUCCAACCUUCCACUCUAUGCUCCCUCCAAAACCCUUCCACCACACCUUUAAAACUUUUAUUAUUUAAUCAAUGAUUGUUAAAUCUAAACGGUUUUGGACCCCAAUCCCACCCUCCUUCCUUGAGAAUCAAGGGACAAUGGUCGGAAACAUUCCUCGGAAGUGUCCAAAGAGACACCCCCCCCCCCCCCACACCAGCUCUCACUCCUCGAUACCAACACUAUAUCAAUCCUAUUCAUCGAAACAUCAUUCGGAUGAUACCAAGUAAACCUCCUCCCGAGAAAUCUAAGAUCCUCCAAAUCCGCCUCCCUCAAGAAUUGAUCAAAAUGAUUAAUUUCAAUCGCUUGAGAUGUCGUCGGAUCCAUAUUCACCACCCUUCUCUCCUUACCAUGACACACCACAUUAAAAUCCCCUAAAAUGCACCACGAGGCCUCCCCUAUCUCCCUGCGAAACUCCAAUAACUUCCCCCACAACCUCUUCUUCGCCUCCAUAUAACAUUUAGAAUAAACAUUUAUGAUGACACAUCUAUAUUUUAGAACCCUCCACUCCAUACACACACACACACAUAAAGCCUUCUCCCACCACCUUAAAAAAAACAUUUGAAAAAUACUUCCUCCACAAUGAAAAAAAAAACCCGCUAUUAACUUCGGAAGGAAGAAAAUCCCAAUCACAAUCAUUGCUUCUCCAAAUAUUCUUACAAAAGCUAUUUGAGAUCUCCACCAUCUUCGUUUCUUGAAUCAUCAAGAAUUCUAUAUUAUUUUGUCUAACCAACUCCUUCUAAUUAUUCCGCUUCAAUCUCCCCCCACAACCCUCUAACAUUAAAGGUCGUAAUGAUCAUUGAUCAUUACGUCUUUUCCCCCUUCCCACUCUGUUUUCCACAUCCACCUCUUCCAUCUUCAAUAAUCUUCCCAUAACCGGGUCAUCAGAAACCGAAUAUAACAAACAUGCUUCUUUUUGUCUAAGCAACAUUUUAUUGCCCGCUAAUUCUUUCAAUGUCGUACAAACUUCACCCUCCAUCUGCGUUUUCGGCACAACCUCAUACUCCUCAAUUAUUAAUUGAAUUCUUGAAGAGAGAUUAGCUGGACCUCCAUUAGUUUGACCCUCUGGAGAUACACUUGUGGACGAAAUAUUGUCUCUAUACAUCCCUUUUUUGGAGGAUCUACUUGAGUUAAUCGAACCUUGUUUUACCCCUCUCUUUCCUUGCCUUGCCAUUUCCGCCAUUUGUAAAAAUUUUGGAGUUCCUAGAGGAUUAAAAUUAUUCCUCCAUUGUUUGCAUUUGUACCUUUGUUUCCAAAAUUGCUUCAAAAGCACCUGAUCGUCCAGAAUUUUUCCAAGAGAUUCGUUGAAAUCUGAUGCCUCCCAGUCCUCUAGAACCGCCCCUACUGAAGUUUUUCCUACUUGCACCCCUUGCUCUGUAAAAUGUUUGGAAGCCUUUAGAGAACAAUAACAUUAAGGCCCAACACACCACCCUUCCCCAAAACCGCACCCGACCCAAUAACAUGAUCCAUAAUACUGACUCAGCCCUGCUCUGCUGGCCUGCAAAUACACACAAACUUGCCCGGAAUUCGAAACCCGAGGAACAUCUCCGUCAAGAGCUCUAGUUUGGACCGUUAGAUCCAAAACCGUAUCUAGGCCCUGGUCCACCUCUAAAAGCUGGUGAGGAGACUCCUGUGGGCCCUCUCCUGCCACUUGUCCUCCUGUCACCAAACCUGAUGGAUAGGGACAAGACUUAACUUUUCCCACUUCUGCACUCACAUGUUGCUUUUCUACUUCUCUCCCCUCCACGCGUUGUUGCCCCAUUCUUUGAUCAGAAACAACUUUCCCCAAUACAGUGAACUUUCUCAAUAAACCUAGUAAAUUCUGACCACUUCCUUCCUUUUGUCUCUCCCUUACCUCCAUAGACCUGCCAUCACACAUUCCAACCUUUUCCCCUAGCCAUACUACCUCCCCCUUCUUCGUUAGGAAAAGUAAUCGACCCCUUCUCCCAGCACCGCCCCCAUCACUCUACCUUCUAUCAUCUCUUCACCUUCGGUCGCCCCUCCUCCACAACCUACAAAGUAUAGUUAGCUCCAACCACCACUGUCCUCAACUGUUCAUCAAUAAACCCCAUUAUGGUCAUUGAAACCUGAAUAUAUUCUCGCCACAUCCAAACGUCAAGUGAUGACAGGUCAGCUUACGUUUUGUAAUGUUUUCUAUAUUUGAGUCUGUAAUUCUAGUUUUCCCAAAACAUAGAUUUUUUUUUUGGGGGGGGUUGAAGUAAUUAACGAAAAAAAAAUCAUACAAAUCAGCAAAUCAAGAAGAUCCAAAGAUUUGUGAAGACUUUGGGAAGACAGAGAAGGAAGAUUCAGGAGACUUUACAGUAUGGAGGAAUUAUGUUCCCAAGUUCCGAGACAAGUUAUUUGAAGAUGAAGACCUAAAACGACGGUAAAUCAGAGAAAGUGGGCCAAGGAAGCAACUCCUUGCGCCUUGGGCAUGGCAAAAAGCUGUCAUGCGUCUAGAAUUUCUCACUAUGAAUACUAGCCUUUCCUCAUUUAGAAUUUCUCGUUCAAAACUGUGGCAGUUCAAGAGGAAUGCAACUUUGGAGCUUCGGGAGAGUUUCAAUCAUCUCCUUGAUUUUCUAGGAUAUGUUUUUUAUCUUUAGUAAUUUGUUUUUAGUUACCAUGUGUAACUAAUUCUUUAAUUUAAUUUAAUGAAAUUCUUAAAUAAUAAAAUUCUUAAAAAGUGCUCUUAGGACAUUCGUUAAAAAAACCAUUUUUUUAUUAUUUUAAAUAGACAAAAUGAUAAAUAACCAUUACACUUCACACAUAUAAAUAGGUGGACCGAAAUUCUAACCCUGUCGCAUUGUCCUAUCUAUCAAUUAUAACUUUUCUUUUAAUGAGGCUAGAGUUGAGGACAAGGAAAGCCGGAUAUUAUUGAAGUAAGAAGUGAGAACAAACAAAUUGGAGAAAAAAUAGAUAGAGACAAAAAAAAAAUGGUGAGCAAAGGAGCAAGUGUAGCCACAAGUAGUGUGAGACUGCCGUGCACGGAUUAAUUUUUGUAAAUUAAAUACAUUUUAGAUUUUAAAUUAUGUAAAAUUAUACAAAUAAUACAAAAUUAAAAAUCACGAAAAUUUAUGAUAACAUUUAAUCAUUACAGUAAAUUUAAGUUUAAGUUUCAUUAUCUUCAACAUACCAACUACUUUCAUCGAGUUUUUCCGACUCUUUGUCCUAGAUUUUUUCGAUAGCAUUAUCUCAACCAAAUCGUAUUUUAUAUGGCUGCCUAAUAUUGGAUUUCAUUGAUAUGUUCCUUUUAUCAAUACUCAUUUUUCCCUAAAGAAAAAAAUAAAUACUCAAUUUUAUUAGACCGAUACAAUUCUAUUGUCAUUUUUGUUCUAUUUACAACAUAAUUAUACACAGAAAUAGGAUAGAAGAUUUUAUAGCUACAAAUAGAAUCAUGUUACAGAAAAUAUAUUUUUCUAAUCUUUUUUUUUUUAGAGAAUAUUUUUCUCAUCCUUGUGGAGCACUUGUUGAGAUGCCUUGUACAUUUCCUAAAAAAAAGAGAUGCCUUGUACAUGGAACAUUAUAAAGUAUUGAUAUUUUAUAUUAUUCUUUUGAUAUUUUAUAAAAGUACUUAUCAUCUUAAUUAAUAUUAAUUACUUAGAUGCGCCGGGAUUUUUGACCGGAUAAGACAACCAAACAAUAGGAGGAAAGCAAUAUUUUAUUUUUUAUGGUUUAAGGUGCGUUUGUUUCAAGUUAUAUUUAUAGAUUUUUGAAAAUAAAAUGAUAUAAAUAUAUAUGUCUAUGUUUGUUAUAAAUUUAUUAAAUUUUAUUCUCAGGCAUAAAAUGUUUCUGGGAUAGAAAAAAUUCCCAAAGAACAGGUGGGAAUAAAAUUCCUAUAAAGAUAAAAAUAAAUUCAUGUGUAACUAUCUAUUAUAACUAUUUUUAAGAUUCACGAAAAUAUUAUAAUAUUAAUCAAACAUCUUUUUUUAAAUAUGUUGCAAUAAAAUUUUCAAGAAACGUUAUUAUAAGAAAUAAAUUUGAUAAACUUAAAACAAUCACCCUUAGAUAGAUGAAAUGAUAAAUAACUAUUGAACUUCAGACAUACAAAUAGAUUGGUUGGGAUGAUAACCCUGACCGCAUUGUCCAACUUAACGAUUUCGAUAUUUUUAUUAGCGAGACUACAGUUGUGACAAGGAAAGCCAGGUAUUAUUAAAGUAAGAAGUGUGAACAAGCAAAUUGGAGAAAAAAAUCAGAGAGACAAAAGAAAAAUGGUGAGCGAAGGAGCAAGUGUAACAGCAGCAAUGAUUGCAGCUCAAUUCGUGGAAGUGGGUGGUGAUACUCUAAUGAAAGCAGCCACCAAAGAUGGAAUGAGUAUUUUCAUUUUCAUUGUUUACUCAAACCUUUUGGCUCUAUGUUUUCUUCUACCAUCCACUCUCUUCCACCAUAGAAAAAGAGCUCCUCCUCCAAUUUCAACAUCAAUUUUCUGCAGAAUAUUUGUUUUUGGUUGCCUCAGGUAAGAACAAUGUUGGCACCAAAUUAAUUAACAUUGUGUGUGUGUAUAUAUAUUAUUAGGGUUUUUCUAACACUGCAAAUUUACACAUGUUAGGAAGUUAAAAAAAAAAAGUAAGUUCGCAUUGGAAUUUAUGUAUUAAUAUUAAAUAUGACUUUUUCUAUAAGGAUUUGAAUUUGGCAAAAUAGAGUGAUAUGGACCUACAUGUGCAGAACUGCAACUCAGACGUUAAUGGCUUCUGGAAUUAGAUUCAGUUCUCCUACUUUGGCUUCAGCUAUGGUUGAUAUUGUCCCUGCUUUUACCUUCAUACUUGCUAUAAUUUCAAGGUAUGUUAUUUUUAUUUUAUGGUUGAAAUUACAAGGUUUGUUGUUUUUUGGAUUAAAAUGCAAUUAAUUGCAUCAUAAAGUCAGCAACAAAGAAUACUCCUAUUUUAUACAAUUUUUUUGGAUUAUUAUUAUUGAUUAAUGGCGGUAUCCAGAUUAAUUAAAUUUAAGGAGAAAAAGUUAUAGUGGCUUUAUGCCUAUCUCUUUUAUAUUAGUUCCUCUAAUUUUUUCUCUUGAUAUAAAUUAAAAUACAAUAAAAUUAUCGAUAGGCUACUCUCUCGGUGGGUAGCAUGUCUUUUCUCGAUUGGUACUGAGUAGAGUUGUAUUGUACUCUUCUAUUAAUUUCUAGUUAAUUUUCUUGGUUGUGGGACAUCUUUUUUUAAAGUUGAAUUAAUUAACCUUUGCACUACUUUCUAGUUUCUUUGGCUGUGGCCUGUGGGACAUCUCUUCUUCAAUUCGGCAAGAAAUAUUUUCCCACCUUAGUUGACUUUUACUAAUGAGCUUUAUAAUAUUUGACACAAUAGAGUGAACAAAUAUUAUUUUAAAAAAAUAUUAUCUUUUCUUUCCCUCUCUUUGUUGGAGAUGAAUAUAGUUUCUACUAGAAAUAAUCAAAUUGAUUGAAAGAGGAAUGAGUAUUGAAAUAAGAUUUGGUAUUGAUUUGAUUAUUCACAAUGGAAAUUACUUGCUUAUCUAGUAAUGGCUUUGUCUAACAAACUAAAGCUGAAAUCUAUGAAAGUUACAUAGCAUACAUAACUAACUAAACAAAGCUAUUUACACUAUAUACACCUACGUUAAUAUUACUAAUCUUAACAUGCCUUCUUAAUGCAAAUUUUCAAAAGCUACAACUCCUAGUUCCUUUCUAAGCUCUAAAAACUGAACUAUUUGAUUGGCUUGGUCAGGAUAUCAAUAGUUUUAUGCAUUAAAAUUAAAGCCUUACAUCAAAUCACACACCAAUUCUAUGGAUCAUCUCCAUCAUAUCAACACCUUAAUCUUCAUCAAUCUCGUCAUCAUCAUCACUACUUCAUCACUUCGAUUUUCACCUUUAUUGUCUCUUUCUUAUUGGACGAAAUAGAGCUUUUAGGAAGACGACGACAAAUGAUGGUAACAAAAUGGAAACGAUUGAAACCAAGCAAAGUGCAUCAAAAUCGUGUGAAAACUUGUGAUUUUGUAGCGGUUUCAUUUGUUGCGAUCUUACAACGAUUUUUCAUGUUUUUCGAUUAUGCUAUGGAUUUGGAUCGAAGAGGAUGAGAAAAAUUGCAAAAUCCUACGAUUUUGAUAACAAUGGCCGCAUCAUAAUUUUUAGAUGGAUAAAUGUCACAAAGAACUAAAAUUGUAAGGACAUAAUCUAAAAACAAUAUAUUGCACUAAAAUCAUAUUUAACUCAUAUUAUAGGACCAAAAAUGUUCUUAACCCUAGUUUUUUUUGAAAAACAAUGGUUAAUAAAGGUCAGAAAUUAAGAACUCGUCUCCAUUCUCUUUUUUCUUAUAUAUAGAGAUAUAGUAAGUUUGCAUGAUGAAUUAAAAGUAUAACAGGUGAAUCGGUGAAGAAAGGCUAAAAUUUCUCUAUAUGGAAAAACAUUUUCAAAAUUUCAUUACUAUUAUUUAAUCCUUGCAAAUACAAGAAAAAAUAAACUAACAUGAAUACUGUGAUGUGCAUUUUCAGGAUGGAAGUUCUAAAUAUGAAAAAGCAUAGCAGCCAGGCAAAAGUUAUUGGCACAGUGGUCUCUAUUGCAGGGGCAUUAGUUGUGACAUUUUAUAAAGGGAUGCCAUUGAUAAAUGAUGCAAUUCAACAUAUAGAAAUUGGAGCAAGUGGAAUUUACCUAUUAGGGAAAUCAGAUUGGAUACUUGGUGCUUUUCUUCUUGCAGUUGCAUGUUUUUGUCUCUCUCUUUUGUUUAUUGUCCAGGUAAACAAACUAUUAAUAUUUGUGAUUGUCAUGUGAAGAGAACCAUAAGAAAAUGUGGCCGAUGCAGAUUUAAUUAUGGUUGUAAACACAUAAAAAAUAUUGAUUUCGUAGUCUAAUAUAAAGGUUUUAGAUGUCUCUGCAAGGACAUCACAACCAUAAUAGCUGUUGCAUUUGUUUGAAUGUUGCCACAAUACAAUGGUUCACAACAUAAUCACAAUGAGCUAUAAUAUAAUAUAUUCAAAUUUUAAUUCUACCUAUAUAUGCAGACUUGGAUUGUCAAGGAUUAUCCAGAAGAGCUAGUGAUAACAACCAUUUGUUGCUGUUUUGUGGUAAUCAUAUCUACCAUUGUAGCUCUCAUUGCAGAGGGAAAUUCAAAAGCUUGGAGACUCAGACCUGAUAAAGAGUUGCUAUCUGUGUGUUACUCAGUAAGUUUAAGCUUUAUUAUAAUUAUAAUUAGGCUUAAUUGCACUUUUGGCCACCUAUCUUUCUAAAAGUUGUGAUUUUGGCCCCCUAACUAAUUAAAAUACAAAACAACCCCUAUGUAUUGGAUCUUUGACAGUUUUGGCCCCAAGGCCACUUUUGAUUAGUCUUCGCUGACGUGUCACUCACAAUGGUCGACACGUGGCACCUUACUUAAGGGAUAUAGGUGUCAUGUCAGCGAAGACUAAGUCAAAAGUGGCCUUGGGGGCCAAAACUGCCAAAGAUCCAAUACAUAAGGGACUGUUUUGUAUUUUAAUUAGUUAGGGGGUCAAAAUCGCAACUUUUAGAAAGUUAGGGGUCAAAAGUGCAAUUAAGCCUAUAAUUAUUAUUAUUAUUAUUAUUAGGCUUAAAAAAUUAUUAUGAAAUUUUAAAACAUAUUAAAAAAGUUUGCAUCAUAAUUUUUUUACAUGAAAUGUAUUGUAACGUAAAAAUAUGUUUUUUUUGUUAAGUAGUUUAUUGACUGAGAAUUUACUUUUAUAAGAUGAAUAAAUGGGGUUUCGAGGGUUCGAACUUCAUCCCCUACAUAUAUUAUGUGUUGUUGUCCAUAUCAACCAAACAAAGCUCACGAGGACUGUGUUUUUAUAAUUAUCAUUUAGCUAACGUGGAUAUUUAAAUAUGUUCUUUUAGUUUCAGAAUUAUAAAUUGUAGCUGUCUAAAUUUUGGUCUUGUGAUUAUUCAUUUAAUAAAUUAUAGGCAGCAUUUGUGGUAUCAUUAAGGAAUGUUGUAAACACAUGGGCAUGUCGUAAGAAAGGACCAAUAUAUGUAGCUACCUUCAACCCUUUAAGAGUGGUCAUUGCACUUGGCAUGCGGGGUAAUAUUUUUGGGAGACAAUCUUUAUCUUGGAAGGUAUAUAUAAAGACCAAAAAUUUGUGAAAUAUAAUUUCAAGAUUGACUAAUUUUUUGUAAUUAAAAACUGGUUUAACCUAUUGGUGCAGCGUGAUUGGUGCUGCUAUCAUAGUUAUUGGAUUUUAUGCUGUGAUAUGGGCAAAGGCUCAAGAGGAACAGACAACAAGUGAAAAUAACUUUUUGUCAUCUUCUUCAACCCCUCUAUUGUCAAACAAAAGCAUCGAUAUCUAGGAUGAUGUAGACUCUACUUUUUUAAGGUGGUAGGUUAUACUAAACAUUAUGUUUGAUAAACGUAACUAUUGUGAGAGAAAUGUGUAUUGCACGAGAAUUGAAGCAAUGUAAUCAUUCAUGAACAAACUCUUACAAAUGGUUAUUUCUAUUCACUAAAGGGCAGAUUUUCUAUAAAUAAAUAUAUUUUGGAAGUAGAAAAUAAGUCCGAAAAAGAAGGUAGAACAUUACAUUUUUGUGAGUAUAAAUUCUACCGAAAAUAAUACUAAAUCAUUGUAUCUUUUCUUUAGUGAACAAGAGAAAUUAACAUGACUUUAUUCUCUAAACUAUCAUUCUAUCUUUUCUUUUCUUUAGUGCACAAGAGAUUUGCCAUUAUACCAUUUUGCAUCCAGUCGGCAUAACUGGUGGGGACGAAUCGAACCUCAAAGUUAGUGUGUCCCACACACGCUUUGAAAUUUAUGGGCACUCUUCAUCAUUGAUGACAGAGCAUCAUAUGAUAUUUUGACUAUGUUUUUAGUAUUUUUUAUUUGCAUUUAAAUACAAAUAAGAUGAGUUAAAGGAGUUGUCAGUGGUUUGAGGAACAUAUUGUAUUGUUUUCACUCGAGUCGUUGUAAUUCAGUUUUCUCCUAGAUCAUGCAAUUCCAUAGGUGUUUUGAGUGUUUUGCAGUGAGGAAUAAUGUAAAUCAUCAAAUCAAAACAUCUUGUGAAGAUUAAGAAUUGAAGAUUAAGGGUUCUUAUUAGAUAGGAAAAUUGUUGCUCAAUGCUUUGAUAGGAAAAUUGUAGUGGCUACCAUUAAUUAAUCAUGUCAUUUUAGAUUGUAAGGAACUUAUUAGAAAUCUAGAUGUAGUUAAAGUUGAGUAUAUUAGCAGAUUGUUAAAUGCUAAAGCUCAUAACCUUGAUGGAAUUGCUAGAGAUGUUGGAUCAAAGACAUGAGUGGGGAAUGCCCCUCCACAUGGUCAAAUUAGUUGUAACCUUGUUUCUGUUUUCUGUUAAAUGAACAAGUGGAAUUUCAAAAAAAAUAAAUAAAUAAAUUAGAAGUGAGGACAAACGAAUUGGAAAGCCAGAUAUUAUUAAAGUGAGAACAAAUUUGGUUUGAUUUGGGACGCACCUUUAACGGUUUGGGUAAUAUUUUCCAAAUUGUAAUAACAGUCAACUUGGUUUGAUUAUUUUCCUAAACCAAACUAUAAAUAGUCUUGGUUUUCUGGACUAAAAUAAAUAUAAAAAAAAAGUUUUGGUUCUUCUUUUUUAAGGAAAAAUAUAAAAAAAAAUAUUAUUCAUCAAAAAAGUUAUAGUUAUCGGAUAUUUUAUUAAAGAAAGUGUUAACGAGUGUUUCAAAGACUAUUUCCAUAUUAUUUUAAUAGGAAAUGUUAGCGAGUACUUUAAGGACACUCUUUAAAAGCUUUAAAUAAUAAUUUUUUAUGAAAAUUUGUGCAUUCAAUGAAUCGAAAAUUGAAGUAUUGGACUUUUUAAUGAAAAGUUUCUUAAGACAUUUAUUGACAAUACCUAUUUUUUUUUUUCAAUUCUUUUAAAUAGAUAAAAUGAUAAACAAUUAUUGAAGUUCGCAAAUAUAAGUAGAUGGGUCGGAAUUCUAACCUUGUUGCAUCGUCCGAUCUAUCAAUUUUAACGUUUCUAUCAUUGAGGCUAGAAUUGAGGACAAAGAAAGCCCGAUAUUUUUUUUUAUCUUAAACGAAGUGUCGAAUCUGGAUCACAACAUCUGACUUUGCAAUUUCGGCAUUUACCAGUUGAGCUAGGACUAAGCCCGAUAUUAUUAAAGUAAGAAGUGAGAACAAACAAAAAAAUCAGAUAGAGACAGAAAAAACAUUGUGACCAAAGGAGCAAGUGUAACAAACAACAACUAGUGUGAGACUGCCGUGCACGGAUUAACUUUCAUAAACUAAAUACAUUUUAAAUGAUGUAAAAUAUACAGACAAACAAUAUAAAAUUAAAAUUCACGAAAAUUUAUGAUAACAUUAAAUCAUUACGGUUCUUAAAAAAAAAAAAAAAAAUAAUCAGUAAAUUCAAUGGAAAUGGUUUGAUCACGGUGUCCCUAAAUCACAAUGGUUGUCUCUUUGACACACCAACUACUUUAAUCGAGCUUUUCCGACUCUCUGUCCUAGUUUUUUUACCAUAGCAUUAUUUCAACCAAAUCAUAUUCUAUACUAUAUGGUUACCUAAUAUUGGAAGAUUUUAUUGCUACAAAUAGAAUCAUGUUACAAAAAUAUAUUUUUCUAAUCUUUUUUUAGAGAAUAUUUUCCUCAUCCUUGUGGAGCACUUGUUGAGAUGCCUAUUCUAAAGUGAAGAUAUUUUAUAUUCUUCUUUUGAUAUUUUAUGAAAGUAAUUGAUUAUCAUCGUAAUUAAUAUUAAUUAAUUAGAUGAGCCGGGAUUUUGGACUUGAUAAGACAAGCAAAUUAUUGGAGGAAAUUAAAGCAAUAUAUUUUUUAUUCUUGUAAGUUGUGUUUGUUUCUAGUUAUAUUCAUAGAUUUUUGAAAUUAAAUGAUAGAAAUAUAAGCUAAAUUAUUUCACAGGUCUUUUAAGUUUUAUGUUUAUAAUAGAUUGAUCCUUUAAGUUAUUUUGAACACACAAAAAUCCUUUAAGUUUAAGGUUUGUAAUAGAAAAAAUGUUAUUGGAAAUAGAAAAAAUUCCAGAAAAAAAAGUGGGAAUAAAGUUCUCACGAAGAUAAGAAUAAAUUCAUUCCCAAAAAGAAUAAUCAUGUGUAACUAUAUAUUAUAACCUCUAUUUUUAAGAUUCUUGAGAAUAUAUAAUCUUAACCAAACAUUUUAUUUUUAUUUUUUUUAAAUACGUUGAAAUAAAAUUCACAAUCUUAGAAAUAUAUUUAGUAAACUUGAAACAAACACAUCAUAGAUAGAUGAAAUGAUAAAUAACCAUUGAACAUCACGCAUAUAAGUAAAUGAGCUAGGAUAUUAAUCCUAAUCACAUUGUCCGACCUAACAAUUUUGACAUUUUUAUUAGUCAAACUAAAGUUAAACUUGAGGACAAGAAAAGCAGAUAUUAUAAAAGUAAGACGUGAGAACAAGCAAAUUAGAGAAAAAAUGGCGAGUGGAGGAGCAAGUGUAACAACAACAAUGAUUGCAGCUCAAAUCGUUGAAGUGGGUGGUGAAACUCUAAUGAAAUCAGCCACUAAAGAUGGAAUGAGUAUUUUUAUUUUCAUUUUUUAUUCAAACCUUUUGGCUCUAUGUUUUCUUCUACCAUCCACUCUCUUCCACCAUAGAAAAAGAGCUCCUCCUCCAAUUUCAACAUCAAUUUUCUGUAGAUUACUUCUUCUUGGUUGCCUCAAGUAAGAACAAAAUAGUAUAUAUAUUAUUAUUAUUAUAAGGAUUUGAAUUUGGUAAAAUAGAGUGAUAUGGAGCUACUUGUGCAGAACUGCAACUCAGACGUUAAUGACUUCUGGAAUUAAAUUCAGUUCUCCUGCGUUGGCUUCAGCUAUUGUUAAUCUUGUCCCUGCUUUUACCUUCAUACUUGCUAUAAUUUCAAGGUAUGUUGUUUUUAUUUUAUGGUUUAAAUUACAAGGUUUGUUCUUUUUUUGGAUUAGAAUGCAUUUACUUGCAUCAUAAAGUCAGCAACAUAAAAUAUACUCUUUUUGUCUUUAAAAAACAAAAACUGUUUUAUUCAACUUUUUUUUUAUAGAUAGAUGAAAUGUAAAGUCAUUAUGAAGUCACACACAUAAGUAGAGGUAUUAAGUUUCGAACCCCGAUUAUGACAUCCAGCCUAAUAAUUUUUGCAUUUUGCUAGUUGAGCUAGGACUUAUAGAUUGUUUUAUUCACAUUUAUUUACAACUUUUUCUUUUUUCAGAUUUAUUAAAUAAACUAUGCAUCUAGAUGAUAUUAAAUUUUAAAUUAUUAAUUAUUUAAUGAAUCAAAAAAACAAAAAUUACUUAUUUAUUUGGUGGGUAGCUUGUCUUUUCUCGAUUGCUACUGAGUUGUAUCGUAGUGUUUCGUUUCUUGUUAAUUUUCUUGGUUGUGGGACAUGCAUCUCUUUUUAGUUAGUUGACUUCUACUAGUGAAUUUUAUAAUAUCUGACAUGAUCGGUUGAAUAAAUUAAAUAAAUAGAUAAUAUGUUUCAUAUAAUAGGGUGAACAAAUAUUAUUAUUUAAAAAAAAUAUAUAAUAUGAUCCACUCUUUUCAUCUCUAUGUUGGGGAUGAAAAUAGUUUCUAUUUGAGAGAAUAAGAUUGAUUGAAACUUCCUUCCUUCAAAAAAAGAUUGAUUGAGAGAAAAAUGAAUAUUGAAAUAAGAUUUGGUAUUGAUUAUUCACAAUGGUGAUUGGUGAUGUAUUUAUACACGUAGAAUGAUGCUACUUGCUCAGCAAGUAAUGGCUUUGUCUAACAAACUAAAGUUGAAAUCCAUGAAACACUACAAGAGAAUCUAAGAUUUGCUACCAUAACUGUGCUAGGAAAUAUAUUGGUAGUGAAUAUUAAAACAAUUAGCUACCAUUUGAUUGAAUUUUGUUUUAUUUUGAUUUUAUAAUAUAUAAAAAUAAAUAAAUUACUGUAAAGGUCAUUUUUGUUUAAAAUAGAAAAAAAAAUCAUUUAGAAACCAGCACCACAUUAUUGCAAAUCGCGAUCUCAAUUUUGUCCCCCUCACUCGCACAACCUCCGCCGUGGUACCGAUCAUAAGGUCUAACGAUAAAUCAGAAGGUCAAAAUAACCUCAUUAUGUUAAUUUUUUUAUUUUGCUAAUACAAAACUGUUAACUUUCUUUGCCGCAUCAUCAUCAUUUUUUGAUAGAUAAAUGUCACAAAGAACUAAAAAUUGUAAAAACAUAGUCUAAAAACAAUAUAUUGCACUAAAAUCAGAUUUAACACAUAUUGUAGGACCAAAAAUGUUAUUAAACAAAAACAAGGGUUUAUAAAGAUCACAAAGAACUCAUAUAUAUAUCAAUUGUAACAUCUCAGAAGGUGUUUGGUACUAGAGACCAAGGUGAUUUUCAAAAAUAUCUGAACUGAUAAAGCUUGAAUAUUUUUGGGACGUUUAAUACUACAAUUACAUAUUUUUCAAAAUAUACAGCAAGAAUUUACAUUCUAGUAUAUGACUCUGACUGUGAUCCGGUAACAAAAUGGCCACUUUCAAAAUUUCAUUACUAUUAUUUAAUCCUUGCAAAUACGAGAAAAAAUAAACUAACAUGAAUACUGUGAUGUGCAUUUUCAGGAUGGAAGUUCUAAAUAUGAAAAAGCAUAGCAGCCAGGCAAAAGUUAUUGGCACAGUGGUCUCUAUUGCAGGGGCAUUAGUUGUGACAUUUUAUAAAGGGAUACCAUUGAUUAAUGAUGCCAUUAAAAAUAUAGAAAUGGGAGCAAGUGGAAUUUUCCUUUUAGGGAAAUCAGAUUGGAUAAUUGGUGCUUUUCUUGUUGCAGUUGGUAGUUUUUGUCUUUCUCUUUUGUUUAUUGUCCAGGUAAACAAACUAUGUAUCAACGUGUAAUUAUCAUAUCAAUAGGGAAAUAUAUUCAAUUUUUUUCCAUCUAUGUAUAUAUAUACAGACUUGGAUUGUCAGGGAUUAUCCAGAAGAGCUAGUGAUAAACACCAUUUGUUGCUGUUUUGUGGUAAUCAUAUCUACCAUUGUAGCUCUCAUUGCAGAGGGAAAUUCAAAUGCUUGGAGACUCAGACCUGAUAAAGAGUUGCUAUCUGUGUGUUACUCAGUAAGUUUAAGAUUUAUUAUUCUUAUUAUUAGGCUUAAAGUCUGUUCUGAGUUUAACUCAGUUGAUAGGAACGUUGCAUAUUCUAUGCAGGGAU
rnacentral:lncRNA from 1 species